UAUUUAGGCAAGUAUGAAAACGCUGUCCCAUGAGGUUUCCAAAUAAGUAAAAGAAGGCGUGGCAAGUAAUGAGCUUUCCCAGGUGAAAUGCGACAAUCCAGUGCAUAUGCCAUCUUAUUAUCAUCAAGUAAUGAGCUGUUCCAGGUAAAAUGCGACCAUGCGGUAAUAGCAUGUGGUUGCAGAUCGCAUGGCCGGCAGGGGUGUGCUCCCGGUUUUGCUAAAUAGUGCAGCUGCACCUUUUAGACUUUAGGUUUAUUUAGUUAUUUACCAUUAGGGCUAAGUUAUUUACCAUUAGACCUAAAUUCAGUUUACAAUAUUGACUUGUAUGAGUCAAGUAAUGAAUUUAAGGUUUGGCAAUCAAGUAUAAAGUUUAAACUAGUGGACUGCGGGGGUUUUUCCACUGUUGCCUGGAUCAAUGAAACACUUGGACAGUCUUCAUGUGCCAGUUAGUGAAGUUAGUUAAGGAUGUGAAGUUACACAUAACUCUAUUCUCAGCAUGGCUUAUAUAUCCAAUAGCUUAGUGGGCUGAUGCAAUAGCUAGGUGGACCCAUAAGAGCACAUUCUUGUUGAGAAGUUCUUAUAUAAUGACCUUUGAAUUGUAGCCAGUUAACUUCGCAUAAUUUGUAUCCCUUACUACAAAAAAGUGGGCCUUACCGUGUGGGGAGGUUGCUAAAGCAAUAAAGAACUUGUUCAUCAGCCAUAUCUUGAUACAAAUAAAUCAAGUUAAAAAUUCAUCAUACACAUCGAUAUAAAUAAAACAUAAUAGAGAGUAAAGAUACAUAUAGAGUUCAGAACCAUGCAAAUAUAGCUAUAAUAGAGAGUAAAGAUACAUACAAAAUUUGUUUAUUUUUUAAAUAAUCUAAGAAUUAUUCAUCUUCAUGCCAAGUUGCCAACAAUACAAGCUUCUGGCAUUCUUUGUGACAAGAGUGCCCCAAAAGCUAAAAGGCAAGUUCUAUAGGACGGCGGUUCGAUCCGUAAUGUUGUAUGGCGCUGAGUGUUGGCCGACUAAAAGGCGACAUGUUCAACAGUUAGGUGUGGCGGAGAUGCACAUGUUGAGAUGGAUGUGUGGCCACGCAAGGAAGGACCGAGUCCGGAAUGAUGAUAUACGAGAUAGAGUUGGGUAGGGCCGAUUGAAGAGAAGCUUGUCCAACAUCGUCUGAGAUGGUUUGGGCACAUUCAGCGCAAGCCUCCAGAAGCGUCAGUGCAUAGUGUACGGCUAAAGCGUGUUGAUAAUGUCAAGAGAGGUCGGGGUAGACCGAACUUGACACGGGAGGAAUCCGUAAAGAGGGAUCUCAAGGACUGGAGUAUCAACAGAGAACUAGUCAUGUACAGGGGUGCGUGGAAGCUUGCUAUCCAUGUGCCAGAACCAUGAGUUGGUUGCAAGAUCUUAUGGGUUUCACCUCUAGUCUACCCCAACUUGUUUGGGACUAAAGGCUUUGUUGUUGUUGUUGUUUGUUGCCAAGUUGCCAACAAUAGAAAUAGUUACCAACUGGUAUAAAAAGAUAAAAUCCAUCUUCACUAGUUGGAUUGCUCGGGAUCGUCACCAUUAGGUUCCCCACGAGCAACUGUACCCGUAGACAUAGAAUGUUUAGGUGUUAGCUCCCAGUGUCAAAUGUGUGUUUAGCUUAUAUUGCAUUGCAUCUGUGUAGAGCAGAGACAUGAUUGAUGAAGUACGUGGCGGUUACCUAUGUGGGCUCUGGCCGCGCACUCCCUGAUCCUGGCCAUCCUACUCAUGUGACGUCAUUGGGCUUGUUCCCACCAGCACCAUCGCUUGGCCGACGCCACACGUUGUCCCUGCGUUCGAAACCUCCCCAAUUGAUACUGUGCCAUGACCGCCCAACGGUUCCACCAUGCAAAUUGUGCCGGUGCCGAGGCUGGCUGCCCAUGAUGGAAACGUUGGGUGGUUGUGGCACAAUGUGCAUCGGGGAGGCGUCAAACAUAGGCACAUCGUGUGGCGGGGCCGGCCGGUGGCAAACAAGGCCGAGGCACAAGUCGCAUGAUGAGGAUAACCAGGAUCAUGGAGGUUGCCAGAAGAGCCCGCUUGGACACCCUCCCGGCAUCCCGCCUAUAAUCCAAAGGUUAUUAUGCUUGUAAGAUUUUCCUAUAUAAGAAUUGCUUGACAAGAAUAUGAUCUGUACGAAAAAAUUCUGCUAAGCAUUCAUCAUGCUUAUUUUCUGCUUGCGGUCAGUAUGAUUUUACAAAGAGCAUUUGUGCCUUUUUAUCUGCUUCAGCUAAAAAAACAUUUGUUCAGUAUUAACAGCAUGAUUUUUUGUGUGUUAAUUAGAGAGGUAAUUCAAGUCAGCUAUGAUGUCUGAAGGGAUUGUGUUUCCUUGAUAGAGGCCACAAGUAGUUCAGCCAGCAACGAAGUUGAAUUUGAGGUUUCCUCGUGCAAGGGUAUGUGCAAGGGUAUUAAUCUGACAUCCACAAGGAAAAUGUAUUAAUCUUGUGCAAAGGUAUCAAUAUGACUUGUGUAAGGAAAAUCUAUUAAUCUGUGUGUUGUUUCCUUGCUACAUUACUUAAGUUGUAUAUAUCGUGCCUCCAUGCCAGAGUCCUACCAGUAGAUUGUAUCUUGUUGAUCCCAUAUUGGCAGAGGAUUAUGUGCACACUAGCGUAGUGCCCGUGCGUUUGCUAUUGAACCGCAAAAACCGAUUGCAGUUGUAUUUGAUUAGUACUCCCUCCGCUCCUAAAUAUAAGUCUUUGUAGAGAUUCCACUAUGGACUACGUAUGAAGCAAAAUGAGUGAAUCUACACUCUAAAAUGCAUCUAUAUACAUCCGUAUGUGGUCCAUAGUAGAAUCUCUAAGACUUAUAUUUAGGAACGGAGGGAGUAGUAUACAACAGCCAAUGCACUUGUUGCUUGACAUCAUAAAAAGCAAUACACCAUAACCAUAAAAGCACUAAGAACACCAAGUAUCAACCAAUGGCACGUGUCAUGGCUGGAUUCUGAAAUUUGAAAGUUAGGAUGACGGGCAUAGGGAGGAGGGGUGGCCGGGAGACGGGGAUUGGGGAGCAGGGGUUGCCGGGAAAAAAAAUCAUCGACAAAUUGACUGGUUGGUUUGUGUUGGCAUUGUUAAAAAAAAUCUUCCGAUUCGGCGAUUAAUCUUCCGAUUUAUCGUCUAUCUCAAGUGGUGGUGAUCGACUCCACGAAUAGCCUGAACCUGAGAAAUGUAGAUCUGCAAACGGGAACUUCCUGUUGUCUUGAAUCAGGUCUGCUGCUCCAGCUCCCCUCUUUUGUUGCUUUCGGCUAAGCAUCUUUCGGCGGCGGAAAGAAGGCGACUAGUUGCUUCUAGCGAAGCAGCGAGUUCAUGGGCAAGUGAAUGAAUGAGCAGCGAGUGAAGUGCAACAGUGGUAUGCGCAAUGUGUAGCGCAGAAGUUUCUACCUCAACAAACAAGCAGGCAUGACCAACAGUUGGCACUUCAAGUUAGGAAAAGGAAGUUGUUGGCACUUGGGAGUAUGCAGUAGCGGCAUCAUUAUAUUAUCCCUGAUGUUUAAACUAGAGUAGCAAAAACUUGUACAAACUUGCGAAGGGACGAACUUGUACAAAUUAUCUAAUGCUUUAGGCCGUGGUCGGACUCCCCCCGCUCUGUGCUGGAGCGGAGUGGCUUGCUAGGUAUAAUCUGCAGAGCUGCUAAAAGGGCGCUUCGUCGGCUUCGCUCCGCGGAGAGCAGCCGAACAGGUGCUUAGUCUUCAGUCGCAGAAAUAUAUUGGGAAAUAUUUGAUUAUUAGUUAUGGCAGAAACUUUCUUUGAAAAGUUUAAUGAUUAUUCAUUAAUGCACAAAAAUAUAUUGGGAAA